UACGAGGGGGCAAGCGUUGUUCGGAAUUAUUGGGCGUAAAGGGUGCGAUAGGCGGUUUGGUAGUCUUAUGUGAAAUCUACAGGCUACCAACUUGUAGUCGUGGCAUGAGAAACUGCCGGGCUUGAGUAUGGGAGAGGUGAGGUGGAAUUCCAUGGUGUAGCGGUGAAAUGCGUAGAUAUCAGGAGGAACACCUGUGGCGAAAGCGGCUCACUGGACCAUAACUGACGCUGAUGACACGAAAGGCUAGGGGGAGCAAACAGG
rnacentral:rRNA from 1 species